AGAUUGAACGCUGGCGGCAGGCCUAACACAUGCAAGUCGAGCGGCAGCACGGGUACUUGUACCUGGUGGCGAGCGGCGGACGGGUGAGUAAUGCCUAGGAAUCUGCCUGGUAGUGGGGGAUAACGCUCGGAAACGGACGCUAAUACCGCAUACGUCCUACGGGAGAAAGCAGGGGACCUUCGGGCCUUGCGCUAUCAGAUGAGCCUAGGUCGGAUUAGCUAGUUGGUGAGGUAAUGGCUCACCAAGGCGACGAUCCGUAACUGGUCUGAGAGGAUGAUCAGUCACACUGGAACUGAGACACGGUCCAGACUCCUACGGGAGGCAGCAGUGGGGAAUAUUGGACAAUGGGCGAAAGCCUGAUCCAGCCAUGCCGCGUGUGUGAAGAAGGUCUUCGGAUUGUAAAGCACUUUAAGUUGGAGAAGGCAGUUACCUAAUACGUAUCUGUUUGACGUUACCGACAAGAAUAAGCAACCGGCUAAACUCUGUG
rnacentral:rRNA from 1 species